GGUGAGUAACACGUGGGUAACCUGCCUGUAAGACUGGGAUAACUCCGGGAAACCGGGGCUAAUACCGGAUGGUUGUUUGAACCGCAUGGUUCAAACAUAAAAGGUGGCUUCGGCUACCACUUACAGAUGGACCCGCGGCGCAUUAGCUAGUUGGUGAGGUAACGGCUCACCAAGGCAACGAUGCGUAGCCGACCUGAGAGGGUGAUCGGCCACACUGGGACUGANACACGGCCCANACUCCUACGGGAGGCAGCAGUAGGGAAUCUUCCGCAAUGGACGAAAGUCUGACGGAGCAACGCCGCGUGAGUGAUGAAGGUUUUCGGAUUGUAAAGCUCUGUUGUUAGGGAAGAACAAGUACCGUUCGAAUAGGGCGGUACCUUGACGGUACCUAACCAGAAAGCCACGGCUAACUACGUGCCAGCAGCCGCGGUAAUACGUAGGUGGCAAGCGUUGUCCGGAAUUAUUGGGCGUAAAGGGCUCGCAGGCGGUUUCUUAAGUCUGAUGUGAAAGCCCCCGGCUCANCCGGNGAGGGUCAUUGNAAACUGGGGAACUUGAGUGCAGAAGANGAGAGUGGAAUUCCACGUGUAGCGGUGAAAUGCGUANAGAUGUGGAGGAACACCAGUGGCGAANGCNACUCUCUGGUCUGUAACUGACGCUGAGGAGCGAANGCGCGGGGAGCGAACAGGAUUANAUACCCUGGUAGUCCACGCC
rnacentral:rRNA from 1 species